AUCUACCAGCGUGACUGUUAUGAAAGAGACCCUGCCUACAAGGACCAAACGUGAAGAGAAGAGGCCUACCUCGCCUCACCCUGGGCCCGGCCUGACGUGGCCAACACAGGCUUGCUUUGAAGAGCAGUUCGGGUGUGCUCAGUCACAAGGAGAGGGGGAGCUCCCAAAGUUCCGUACCUAUGAGACUGUUGUUCCAGACUAUUCAGGUGACCUCAAAAGGGGCUCUUGUUACCAAGUAAUCUCAUUAAAGUUUUCAUUGGAAGAGUAUUUCUGAGUCACUGAGACCUCGGCUUCCUGUGGGAGAAGGACUGCUGUUAAGUCAGUCCACAGUGGCUUUCUAAUAGUGGCUCUCAAGAUGUUGUUUGGGGCAGAGACAGACCGGUCUUCAGACAAGGUGUUCCUGUUCUCUUUGGCCUUAAAAUUUUCUGUCAGCAGAAAGGAAGCCACUCAACUUUCUGUCCCCUGGGUAAGGGCCCUGCUCACCCAAGUGUUGGUACAAGUCAUUAGGGUUCCACUGAGGGACUGAUGGCUGCCAGGCAUUUCUGCUUCAUCCUUCUGGAAUGAUCUGUUCCUCCAGAUGUUUCCUGUCAGCCUGCCUCUUGCUUCUGAGCCUGGAGAGCAGGGAGUCUGGGCAGACCAUGGCUUUUCAGCCCCAAACCAGGGUCAAAAGCCAGGCAGAGGUCAUGGAAAGUCUCAGUUCCCAACAGCUUGUUCUGUGGUGGCCAAGAGGGUAAGUUCUGCCAGCCCCUGCGCCAGAAUCCCGCCCCGCCCGCGAUGUGAAAUAUCGGCCCCAGAGAUCCAGACCGGUAAUUAAGGAGAGGAAAAUGGACCUCCCUUGUAGACAAGAACCGACAUGGUCUACAGAGCGAAAGUCAGACGGCAGAUCAAGCAACAAACUGCGGAAAACAAUCCAGUGAGAUACAGUGGACACAGCCGUGAGCUCUCGGUGGGGAUGGAGACGUACCGUGGGAUGGAACAUACUGGAUAUUUGGAGGCUUUUAGGAAUCACAGCAAGACACAGAUGCUACAGAGAGUACGGGGUUGUUAAUUCCUAUGUGGAUUCAGACACAAACAGCCUUAGAAGGUCCUGCACAUGUCAUGAGUGGGAUUUCAGGCCCCCGAGCUUAAGCAUGUCUUCAGACACAAAGUCCGCAGCGGACAGUGGAAAUAUCCUGAAAGCAUAGUGCCUGGUUGCUAACUGGGAAUCAGAGCCAGCUGCCAGCCCCCGUGCAGGCCCCGAGUCAGCUCUCACACACAGCCAAGCCCGUGUUCCCAAAGAGAGCUUCUUGCAAAGACCAGCCUGGAGCACUCAGCAUUUUGUUGCGAGCCUAGGAAAUUCCACAAGGCGAAUUGUUUUUGGUUUGUUUGUCAAGUGUCACUGCACUUAAAAU